AUACGGAGGGCGCAAGCGUUGUUCGGAAUCAUUGGGCGUAAAGCGCGUGUAGGCGGCUUGGUAAGUCGGGUGUGAAAUCCCGGGGCUCAACCCCGGAACUGCAUUCGAAACUACCUGGCUAGAGUCCCGGAGAGGGUGGUGGAAUUCCCAGUGUAGAGGUGAAAUUCGUAGAUAUUGGGAGGAACACCAGUGGCGAAGGCGGCCACCUGGACGGUGACUGACGCUGAGACGCGAAAGCGUGGGGAGCAAACAGGAUUAGAAACCCCAGUAGUCC
rnacentral:rRNA from 1 species